rnacentral:misc_RNA from 1 species
AAAGUCUUCACAUUAAUUAAUGUCUCUCUGUUCUAUAUAUACUCUCUUAACAAACUCUUUUACUUUCCAUACUCACCCCUUUCUCCUUCCACUCUUCAGUCUCCCAUGGCUUCCUUUACCUGUUCAGCCUCACAACUAGCUUCUCUCCUUUCCUCCACCACAAACUCCACAGAAGCUGCCACUUAUCUCUGCUCCCAAUUCACCGCCAUAGCCAACCAGCUCUCUGACACAUCCUAUGCAGUUAACAACACCUACCUCCUCUUCUCUGCAUACUUAGUCUUUGCCAUGCAACUAGGAUUUGCCAUGCUUUGUGCAGGCUCUGUCCGGGCCAAGAACACCAUGAACAUAAUGCUCACCAACGUUCUUGAUGCUGCUGCUGGAGGUCUUUCUUACUAUCUCUUUGGAUAUGCUUUCGCUUUUGGAUCUCCUAGCAAUGGCUUCAUUGGCCGCCAUUUCUUUGGCCUAAAUGACUUUCCUUCUCCUCAGGCUGACUAUAGCUUCUUUCUUUAUCAAUGGGCUUUCGCCAUAGCUGCUGCUGGAAUCACUAGUGGCUCCAUUGCAGAGAGAACCCAGUUCGUUGCUUACCUCAUAUACUCUUCCUUCUUGACUGGCUUCGUUUAUCCUAUUGUCUCCCACUGGAUAUGGUCCGGCGACGGGUGGGCUAGUGCUUCCAAAUCUGAUAACAAUCUGUUAUUCGGGUCGGGUGCUAUUGACUUUGCUGGUUCGGGUGUGGUUCAUAUGGUUGGAGGUAUUGCUGGCUUAUGGGGGGCUCUCAUUGAAGGUCCACGAAUCGGCCGAUUCGACCAUUCAGGUCGAUCCGUGGCGUUACGUGGUCACAGUGCAUCCUUGGUAGUUCUUGGUUCGUUUCUAUUAUGGUUCGGAUGGUAUGGGUUCAACCCGGGUUCAUUUUUGACAAUCUUGAAGAGUUACGGUGAUAGUGGAGGGUAUUAUGGUCAAUGGAGUGCUGUAGGAAGGACAGCUGUCACGACUACAUUGGCUGGGUGCACAGCAGCACUUACUACCUUAUUUAGCAAAAGAUUACUAGUGGGUCAUUGGAAUGUGAUCGACGUUUGCAAUGGUUUAUUAGGAGGUUUUGCUGCGAUCACCUCGGGGUGCUCAGUGGUAGAACCGUGGGCUGCAAUCAUAUGUGGCUUCAUUGCAGCUUGGGUUUUAAUCGGGUGUAACAAGCUUGCAGAGAAGUUGAGGUAUGAUGACCCACUAGAAGCCGCUCAAUUGCACGGUGGAUGUGGGGCUUGGGGCUUACUAUUUACAGGGUUGUUCGCCACCAAGAGUUAUGUCAACGAGGUGUACCCUAACAAGCCAGGACGCCCAUAUGGGUUGUUCAUGGGUGGUGGUGGGAAGCUUUUGGCGGCUCAGAUCAUCCAGAUUUUGGUGAUAACAGGUUGGGUGACGGUGACAAUGGGCCCACUGUUCUAUGGGCUUAAAAAGUUGCGGUUGUUAAGGAUCUCAAGUGAGGAUGAGAUGGCAGGAAUGGAUCUGACUAGGCAUGGAGGAUUUGCUUAUGUGUACCAUGAUGAGGAUGAUUCAUCACUUAAGCCUUCAUUUAUGAUGAGAAGGAUUGAGCCUACUAAUGAAAGCACCCCAAAUCAUCAGACUUCAUCAACGAUGAUCAAUGUUUAAACAAAUUUUCUGUCACUUUCUUCAGAAAAUGUCUUUUGCUCCCUGCGUUACAGUACCGCUAUAGGAAGGACAAAGGGUGUUUGAUAAAGAUUAGAAAAAGAAAAGAAAUGCGUAAGAAACAAAAAAAUUAGGAGAAUGUUUUUGAGAGGGAGAGAAUGUUGAGCUCUUUUAGUUCCCUUGUUUAAAGAAAAGGGUUGAAUUAUCCA